rnacentral:rRNA from 1 species
UUGCACGCUGGCGGCAGGCCUAACACCUGCAAGUCGAGCGGAUGAAGGGAGCUUGCUCCUGGAUUCAGCGGCGGACGGGUGAGUAAUGCCUAGGAAUCUGCCUGGUAGUGGGGGAUAACGUCCGGAAACGGGCGCUAAUACCGCAUACGUCCUGAGGGAGAAAGUGGGGGAUCUUCGGGCCUCACGCUAUCAGAUGAGCCUAGGUCGGAUUAGCUAGUUGGUGGGGUAAAGGCCUACCAAGGCGACGAUCCGUAACUGGUCUGAGAGGAUGAUCAGUCACACUGGAACUGAGACACGGUCCAGACUCCUACGGGAGGCAGCAGUGGGGAAUAUUGGACAAUGGGCGAAAGCCUGAUCCAGCCAUGCCGCGUGUGUGAAGAAGGUCUUCGGAUUGUAAAGCACUUUAAGUUGGGAGGAAGGGCAGUAAGUUAAUACCUUGCUGUUUUGACGUUACCAACAGAAUAAGCACCGGCUAACUUCGUG